UUAAUCAAGUUAAUAUUUUUCUUGCGAGUGCAAAAAGAAGAAGCGAGUUUCUUUUUAUUUUUUAUUUUUCUUUUUUACAGAGAAAGUAAUAAGAAACUGUUAAUAUUUAUAUCGAAAAUAUGGUAAAUUCCAUUUGUACGAACCUGUUCAAGAUAAGCAAAUUUAUAUAGCCAAGUUGUUUAUGCAAUAACGGUUUUAAUUAUCCCCACUGGCUAUGAUUUUUCAUUCAAUUAAUAAGAGUCCAUUUGCACAUGAAUACGUAAUAACGUUUCGUAUAUUUUACGAAGAAUUUGGGGAAAAAAGGAAGGUCUUGCAUACGUGAUAUAUAAUUAUUUAAUAAAUGAAGAAUUCAUUUAUUUUGCAGCGGUGACACAGUUUAAUAAAUUAAUAUCUCGAAUUAAAUACAGAUGAUCCUCCCCGAUUUUUUCGAAUUAAUUAAUUCCCGACCGUUCGUAAAUUGGGAAUUUGCCUUAAAUAGAAUUUUGUAAUCGAAAAAGAAAUAUGAAACGAAUAUUAAAUUAUAGAAUUAUUGGCCAAGGAUUUAUAGUAUUUAAAAAAGUAGGGUAAGAAAAUUUUCAUUGCGCGAUUUCCUGUGCACACUUUUAAUUGGCUUCGUAUAAUUUAAAUUAGAAAAAAUUCCAAAAAAUUUCUAAAGUGAGAGGAAACCAUGUUCCAAGAGAAGUGAUCACCGAACAAAGGUGUCCCUUCUAACUUCUAAUAUUGAGAGCUUGACACAUCGGGAAGUCAGUGGCUCGAAGCCAAGAGAGACAGAGAGAGAGAGAGAGAGAGAGAGAGAAAGAGAGACCUCCUCGUUCGCUGGACGAUGACCCUGAAUGUUCACCUAACGUUCCAUCCACAAUGAUUCGAUCCCCUCGAAUGAUCGAUCUCGACCGAAUCGCGGAUCUGGAAAAUCGGAUCGAAGUAAUCCGUGCCACGGUGUCGCGUGAACCGUGACGCGUUUUCCCGGAUGAUCGGCCCCGUGGACUUUGUCACAAAGCCCUGGCCAAUGGCGAAACUCGUUUUUGCAAAGUGAUCGUUCAUCGAGACGCGAUCGAAGCUUGGUGAAAAACGACGAAAAGAGGUUUAAAAAAAAAAAAGGCGUUGGUUUCGAACUAACCGACUGGCUCUGGCCGAACAAAGUCAAUUACAGGGAACAACAUUGGAACGGGUCGAGUCGUACCGGAUGUACUACUCUCUCUUUCUCCCCCUGUUGUUUUGUUGCUUUUAUUAGGAAACGAAGGUAGCCAGUUCUAAUACGAUUGAAGUAACUCGAAUCUCAAGGAAGAAG